rnacentral:lncRNA from 1 species
ACCGUCAAUGCAUAAUUUCAGUGUAUAUGAUAAAUUUCUUCAAACCAUGUUCUUAUUGCUGCAUGUUAAAUGACAACCCAAAUAGUUAUCCAGGAUAUUUUUGUUAGAAGUAUGCUCUAGAAGCCAAUUUGGCUGACGCAUUAUUUUAUUCUGGAACAUAAAUUUGUACUUGACCUAAUUAAGUUGAGCAUUCUUUUCAUUCAUGUUCUUAUGUGUCCAUGGAUCGUCCAAAGAAUCAAUAAGAUGAUGACGCAUAUUCUCAAGAGUUGAGAAUUUGAGGCAUGUGUCAUUGGUGAUUAAUUCCUGAAUUGCUCCUGAUCGAUGGAUCAUCACGAGGACGGUGAUUGAUCCGCUGAGAUUAGUGCACAUAUUGCUUUCUUUGAUGGACGAGUCUUGAGUCCAUAGUGUAGGGACACUGGAGCAAUUGUGCAAGUGCUUGUUAGAGAACAAGGGUACUGAGCGUGACCAAGACAAAAAGUCACUUGGAUGUCUAUCCACUCGUCAGUGACGAGCUUGAUGUUGCAGUAGUGUGACUGGUCCUUUGACCUGCGAUGCUUCGGCUGGUCACAGUGAGGUUAUUGUAGUUUGACUGCACACAUACAUGGUCUCUAGCCAUAUGGGUCCAUGCAGUAUAGAUUGGCUGCAGUAGGUUCACUGUAGAAGUAGGGUAUGCACCUAUAAGGUCUAUCGACCUUGAUAGAUAAGGAGAGAUCCUAUAUGAUUUAUAAGACUGAGUUCGUAAGACCUCGGCCGGGGCAGUAAAAAUAGUGGAGAAAGAGUUUUCCAUUCUCGAACUUAAGUCGAAUAAAUCUUGACAUAUGACAGACGAUGGGGUUUGACGAGUUGUCCAUGACCUCCGUCCUGUAGGGAUCUACGAUAGAAGGACUGUAUCAUACGAUAACUGCACCUAAAGGUUCAUCAUUUCAUUCUGCUGGGUAGCCACUACAUGCUGCUAGGUGUCACUGCUGGAUGGUGAGACUCACAGGGAAUAUCUUGAUGAUCGAUAAACCCUGAUGAGUUGAGUUGGAACUGUUCCAACCCAUUGAAAGAAGUUUUCAAUGAUAUUGUGAUACAGAUCGCAAUAUAUCUUACUACCAGUCAGAAUAGAACCUAUGGGGUCACACACACUAGAGGUAUUGACCGAUCUGAUGGUUGAAAUGUGAUUAUGAAUCACGAGUAAUCAAUUCGAUUGAUAAUCAAAUUGAAGAAGGAACAAUGGGAAUUGAUUAAUUGGACUUGGAACACAAAUCCUACUUGGAGUAGGAUUCCUGGAGUCCUAAUUGGAUUAGGACUGGGAAUCCUACUUGGACUAGGACUGGGAGUCCUACUUGGAGUAGGAUUCCUACAAUCCUAAUUAGAUUAGGAUUUUGAAUUCAAUUUGGAUUCCUACUUAGAAUAGAAUUCCUAGAAGUCCUAAUUGGAUUAGGACUUUGGAUUCAAAGAAGAGUCCUAAUUGGAUUAGGACUAAAAUUAAAUAA